rnacentral:rRNA from 1 species
CUCGUAGGCGGUUCGUCGCGUCCGGUGUGAAAGUCCAUCGCUUAACGGUGGAUCCGCGCCGGGUACGGGCGGGCUUGAGUGCGGUAGGGGAGACUGGAAUUCCCGGUGUAACGGUGGAAUGUGUAGAUAUCGGGAAGAACACCAAUGGCGAAGGCGGCUCACUGGCUCGAUACUGACGCUGAGGUGCGAAAGCGUGGGGAGCAAACA